UACGGGGGGGCAAGCGUUGUUCGGAAUUACUGGGCGUAAAGGGCGCGUAGGCGGCCUUCUAAGUCGGACGUGAAAUCCCUCGGCUCAACCGAGGAACUGCGUCCGAUACUGAAAGGCUUGAAUCCGGGAGAGGGAUGUGGAAUUCCAGGUGUAGCGGUGAAAUGCGUAGAUAUCUGGAGGAACACCGGUGGCGAAGGCGGCAUCCUGGACCGGCAUUGACGCUGAGGCGCGAAAGCUAGGGGAGCAAACGGGG
rnacentral:rRNA from 1 species